UUUGUGGUAGACUUUGGUAUCUGGGUAUAUGGCUUCAAGGAGACUGCCAUUGAGAUACACUGUGAAUUGUUCAGGAUACAUAGUUCAAACACAACACAUGAUAACAAGGGACUGAGAGCUUCUCCACAUCAACUGAACUGCAUAACACCACACAGAAAUUUCUUGGGCUGCAUUGGUCAAAACUGAUCUGAAUAACAGUGGGA